UCCAUGUGUAUAGUCCUAGGAAUUGAAUCC
rnacentral:piRNA from 1 species